rnacentral:rRNA from 1 species
CCUACGGGAGGCAGCAGUGAGGAAUAUUGGUCAAUGGCCGAGAGGCUGAACCAGCCAAGUCGCGUGAGGGAAGACGGCCCUACGGGUUGUAAACCUCUUUUGUCGGGGAGCAAAGCGAACCACGUGUGGUUCAUUGAGAGUACCCGAAGAAAAAGCAUCGGCUAACUCCGUGCCAGCAGCCGCGGUAAUACUGAGGAUGCGAGCGUUAUCCGGAUUUAUUGGGUUUAAAGGGUGCGCAGGCGGAGGUGCAAGUCCGCGGUUAAAUUUCGGGGCUCAACCACGUACUGCCGUUGAACCUGCAUGCCUUGAGUGCGCGAGAAGUAGGCGGAAUGCGGGGUGUAGCGGUGAAA